GAGGGUAUAGCUCAGUGGUAGAGUGCAUGCUUAGCAUGCACAAAGUCCUAGGUUCAGUCCCCAGUACCUCCA
rnacentral:tRNA from 1 species